rnacentral:tRNA from 1 species
GGAGGCGUACGUGUCCUGGUCAGCGCCCGGUCUUCAAAACCGGUGAGACCGAGCGCCUCGGUCUGGCGGGUCGAUUUCCGUCCGCCUCCGCCA